rnacentral:rRNA from 1 species
AUACGGAGGAUCCGAGCGUUAUCCGGAUUUAUUGGGUUUAAAGGGUGCGCAGGCGGCCAUUUAAGUCAGCGGUUAAAUCGUGGGGCUCAACCCCAUUCUGCCGUUGAUACUGGGUGGCUUGAUUGCGGUCGAGGUUGGCGGAAUUGGUUGUGUAGCGGUGAAAUGCAUAGAUAUGACGAAGAACACCGAUUGCGUAGGCAGCUGACCAGACCGCAAAUGACGCUCAUGCACGAAAGUGCGGGGAUCGAACAGGAUUAGAUACCCUGGUAGUCCGCACAGUAAACGAUGAAUACUUGUUUUCGGCGAUAUAAUGUCGGAGGCAAAGCGAAAGCGAUAAGUAUUCCACCUGGGGAGUACGCCGGCAACGGUGAAACUCAAAUGAAUUGACGGGG